GGUUGGAGUGGUGGGAAGGGGUGGGAGAGAGGUGGGAGAUGGUGGGGGAGAGAUGGGAGUGGGUUGGGAGCGUCAAAAAAGGCUUGGAAGUGGUAAAAAGGGGUCAAACGUGACUAAAACUGGGCUUGAGACCGUCAGAAAUGGCUUGGAAGUGGUAAAAAGGGGUCAAAAGUGACUAAAGUUGGGCUUGAGACCAUCAAAAAAGGCUUGGAAGUGGUAAAAAUGGGUUGAAAGGAGCGAAAAUUGGCUUGAGACCGUCAAAAAUGGCUUGGAAGUGGUAAAAAUGGGUGAAAGUGAGCGAAAAUUGGCUUGAGACCAUCAAAAAUGGCUUGGAAGUGGUAAAAAUGGGUGAAAGUGAGCAAAAAUUGGCUUGAGACCGUCAAAAAUGGCUUGGAAGUGGUAAAAAUGGGUGAAAGUGAGCGGAAAUUGGCUUGAGACCGUCAAAAAAUGGCCUGGAAGUGGUAAAAAAAGGUCAAAAGUGACUAAAAUUGGGCUUGAGACCAUCAAAAAAGGCUUGGAAGUGGUAAAAAGGAGUCAAAAGUGAGUGAAAAUUGGCUUGAGACCAUCAAAAAUGGCUUGGAAGUGUUAAAAAGGAGUCAAAAGUGAGCGAAAAUUGGCUUGAGACCGUCAAAAAUGGCUUGGAAGCGACAAGAAAUGGUGGGAAAGAUCAGAAGUGGUUUGAAAGUAACAAAAUUUGACUUGAAAGCAGCCAAAAUGGCUCGAAACCAUCAAAAAAUUGGUGCAACCGUCAAAAAUUGGUCCAAAGCCAACAGAAAGGUCUUGAGAUCAUCAAAAAUGGGCUUAAAGCCCCCAAAAAUGGGUUGAAACCACCAAAAAUGGAUGAAACCACCAAUAAUAGGCUUAAAACCACCAAAAAUGGGUUGAAGGCCAACAAAAAGGUCUUGAAACCACCAAAAAUGGGUUUGAAACCACCAAAAAUGGGUUGAAGUCCAAGAAAAAGGUCUUGAAACCACCAAAAAUUGGUGGGAAACCAAUGGAAAGGGCUUGAAACCACCAAAAAUUGGCUUAAAACCAUCAAAAAUACUUUGAAACCACCAAAAAUUGGUCGAAACCCAAUGGAAAGGUCUUGAAAUCCUCAAAAAUUGGCUUAAAGCAACCAAAAAUGGUUUGAAACCACCGAAAAUUGGUCGAAACCCAACGGAAAGGUCUUGAAAUGACCAAAAAUUGGCUUGAAACCACCGAAAUUGGUUUGAAAGCAUCAAAAAUUGGUCGAAACCCAACGGAAAGGUCUUGAACGCGACAAAACCGGCUCGAAAAUGCCCAAAAUCGGUCGAAAUGCAUCAGGACGGUCUCGAAACCACCAAAACUGGUUUGAAAGCAUCAAAAAAUCGGCGAAAGCAUCAAAAGAUGCUUUGAAAGCAUCAAAAAAAGAUGGAAAACCAACAGGAAAUGCUUGAAAGCAUCAAAAAUUGGCUUGAAUCCACCAAAAAUGGUCCAAACCCAACAGGAAGGUCUUGAAAUCCUCAAAAAUUGGCUCCAAGCCACCAAAAAUGGGUUGAAACCACCAAAAAUUGGUGGAAACCCACCAGAAAGGUCUUGAAAGCAUCCGAAAAUUGGCUUGAAACCACCCAAAUCGGUUUGAAAACAUCAAAAAUUGGUCGAAACCCAACAGAAAGGUCUUGAAACCACCAAAAAUGGAUGAAACCCACCAAAACUUGGCCUAAACCCACCCAAAAUCGCUUCAAACCCAACAGAAGAGUCUUGAGCCCACCCAAAAUAGGCUUAAAACCACCAAAAUUGCUCCAAACCCAACAGAAAGGUCUUGAACCCACCAAAAAUUGGCUUAAAAUCACCAAAAAUGGAUGAAACCCAA